AUAUAUUAAUUAUAUUUCUUUUGGGCUUUUGGCGUUGGACGUUGCCGCUGCCGACCGCACGGUGGAGAAGGAGGAGGAGGAGGAGAGAACCGUUUGCCGUUGCUUUCUCUGGGCGCACCGAAUUACUAUUAAAUUGAUUUCAGCCCCGACCUCGGGAAUUAUAUGCGAAAAUCUCGAGAGCCGAGCAACGGCAGCAGUGGCAGAGCGAUAACUUGGGAGAACGGGAGGGAGAGAGCGCGCCUGCGCAUGGCCAAUGUUAUUGUCGAUCGCUGCAGCGCCUGCUGUGGGGGUGAGCAGGAGAGAGAGAUAGAAGGUUAACCGAAUUUCAGACGGACAGAGAGCAGCUCCCCUGGAGUCUGUGCGUGUGUCAAUCAACUCUUUCGUCAGCCAGAACGCCACAAACCAAUUGAAGCCCUCGCGCCCUCUAGUGACGUCAAUGGAGAGCGUGAUCGAAAGCUUACGGCAAAGCAAACAUCGGCUUGGAAGGACUCCCACCCUCCUCUCCGUCUCUGUUGUGGAGGCGGCGCGUGCAAGGUAUUUUCAACUGGAAUUAGUUGUUAUCAAAUUAAUUAGACAACGGAAAGGGGAAUUUGUUCGAGGUAUUUUCUGGCGCAGACAGCGACAGGUUUAAAGCCCCAGUCCCCCGUCUAAUGGCACCGCAAUGGAUAAUGAAUGGGAAUGCAAUCGAUUUCUUUAGACUUAACGGAAGAAUGUCUAUAAAUUGGUCUCUUCUUUGAAUUACAAAAAUAUCAAAGAAUUUCAUUGACACAUUUCGAGGUUUAAUGGAAUAUUUAAAAGGAUUUCUUGUUGAAGGUGUACAUUAUUCCCACAUAAUUUCUUGUUUUUCUAGUCAGUAAAUAUUCGAAAACAAAUGCAGGUAUUAUUAAUUCACCUUAUGACGUAGGUACAUAGCUGUGGUGCGUAGGUGGUUAUUGGAAUGCCAUAAAUCUACGCUUCAUCGUCAUCUGGGCCAGACAUAUCGUACGUACGAUAUGAUUGUCAUCAUUGUGGCUGCCUUUCUCAUCCAAUUGUUUAUGCAAUAAAAAUUGUGUACAGAGAAUUGUGCACUUCCAUAUGGAAGUACAUGACUCAGUCCCACAAA
rnacentral:misc_RNA from 1 species